UUAAUCUUAAAAAGGACUUGUCCAAGUAAUUACAAAAAGCACAAAACCCAAUAAAAGUGGGGUACACAAUGUGUACUACACAUACACAUUAGGAAACUCAUCUUUCUCAUCCAUAAAUUUUUAAUUUUGCUACAAAUUGUAAUUAAAUUGUAUUUUGACAUAUAAGUUUAAAAAAUGAAAAAGUUACUUUUAAGGUUCUUAGAACUUCCUUAUCUAGAGCACAGUUUUUAUAUGAUUGAGAAUUUGCAUUCCUAUCAUAUCUUAGCGCAUGCGCAAAACAAUAAUGUUACUAUUACAAAUUAGAACUGCAAUAAUUUGUUUGUUAUUUUAAUCCAAAGGGAAAAUCUACUUUAGACUGCAGAAAAAUCUAUUUGGCAAUGCACGCGGUCGCCCUUAAGACCUAUGCGCACAGCAAAUAAUAAGGGCGCGAAGGGCUCAAGGAUUAAAAUAAAAUUAAGUCCAGUUAUCAGUACUUUACAUAUUAUUGGCUUGAUGCCCAGCACUUUCGUACAUACUAAGCAAUUGGGUUUGAAGUUUCUAUUAUUUUUUGCACAAAUGCAAUACACAUAGGUUGGUAUUAAUAAAACAAACAAAAUUCCAUCCGACAGAGAUCCAUCUACCAUCUACCAUCCGUUGAACUGAUGGUCCAUAAGCCUUUGCCGUUCCAAAAAUGUCCUAGUUAGUUCCCCAUCCAAAUUUUAUAGACUCUGAGUUCUCCUUCUUGACAGUGAAAAUUUAAACAUUCAGAAUGAAAACGUUAACAAUGAUGACGGCGAACUUUUGAAAAUGGAAGGAGCCAAAGCAAUAGGGUAUUAUGAUUUCAGUCAGAAAUUUGCAACGAAGUGAAGGAGACGUUUCCGACCCCUUAAAGUAUAUGUCGGAGAUGUAUAAGAAGAAAGAAAAUGUAAAAGAAUCUAUAGAGCAUUAAGAAAGAGAAAGAACAAAGA